rnacentral:rRNA from 1 species
AGGACGAACGCUGGCGGCGUGCCUAACACAUGCAAGUCGAGCGAGGAGAUUCCUUCGGGAUGAUCCUAGCGGCGGACGGGUGGGUAACACGUGGGCAACCUGCCUCAUAGAGAGGAAUAGCCUUCCGAAAGGGAGAUUAAUACCUCAUAACAUUGCAGUUUCGCAUGGAACAGCAAUUAAAGGAGUAAUCCGCUAUGAGAUGGGCCCGCGGCGCAUUAGCUAGUUGGUGGGGUAACGGCUCACCAAGGCGACGAUGCGUAGCCGACCUGAGAGGGUGAUCGGCCACAUUGGGACUGAGACACGGCCCAGACUCCUACGGGAGGCAGCAGUGGGGAAUAUUGCACAAUGGGGGAAACCCUGAUGCCAGCAACGCCGCGUGAGUGAUGACGGCCUUCGGGUUGUAAAGCUCUGUCUUCAGGGACGAUAAUGACGGUACCUGAGGAGGAAGCCACGGCUAACUACGUGCCAGCCGCCGC